rnacentral:rRNA from 1 species
GAGAAUUUUUCUCAAUGGGGGAAACCCUGAAGGAGCGACGCCGCGUGGAGGAUGAAGGUCUUCGGAUUGUAAACUCCUGUCAUUUGGGAACAAGUGUAUGCGCAUAACUACCGCGUACUUGAUAGUACCAGAAGAGGAAGAGACGGCUAACUCUGUGCCAGCAGCCGCGGUAAUACAGAGGUCUCAAGCGUUGUUCGGAUUCAUUGGGCGUAAAGGGAGCGUAGGCGGUCGGGUAAGUCGGAUGUGAAAUCCUGGGGCUCAACCUCAGAACUGCAUUCGAUACUGCUCGGCUAGAGGACUGGAGAGGUGAGUGGAAUUCACGGUGUAGCAGUGAAAUGCGUAGAUAUCGUGAGGAAGACCAGCGGCGAAGGCGGCUCACUGGACAGUUUCUGACGCUGAUGCUCGAAGGCCAGGGGAGCAAACG